AUGGCAGACUGGCGUAGUUUGGUGAAAUGGGAAACUUACACAAAGUCCGGAACCCUUGACGUCCUGCAGAUGAAGGAGGAUGAUGUCCUCAAAUUCCUUGCUGUGGGAACCCACUUAGUUGGCACCAACCUUGACUUUCAGAUGGAGCAGUACAUCUACAAAAGAAAAAGUGACAGUAUCUACAUCAUAAAUCUGAAGAGGACCUGGGAGAAGCUGUUGCUCACAGCUUGAGCUAUUGUUGCCAUUGAGAACCCUGCUGACGUCAGUGUCAUCUCCUCCAGGAACACUGGCCAGCAAGCUGUUCUGAAGUUUGCUGCUGCCACAGGAGCCACUCCAAUUGCUGGCCGCUUCACACCUGGGACCUUCACUAACCAGAUCCAAGCAGCCUUCAGGGAGCCGCGGCUUCUAGUGGUGACCGAUCCCAGGGCUGACCACCAGCCACUCACAGAGGCCUCUUAUGUCAACCUGCCCACCAUUGCUCUGUGUAACACAGAUUCUCCCCUGCGCUAUGUGGACAUUGCCAUCCCAUGCAACAACAAGGGAGCUCACUCAGUGGGUCUGAUGUGGUGGAUGCUGGCCAGGGAAGUACUCCGCAUGCGAGGUACUAUCUCCCGUGAGCACCCAUGGGAGGUCAUGCCUGAUCUU